AUACGAAGGGGGCAAGCGUUGUUCGGAAUAACUGGGCGUAAAGCGCACGUAGGCGGAAUGUUAAGUUAGAGGUGAAAUCCCAGGGCUCAACCCUGGAACGGCCUUUAAUACUGGCAAUCUAGAGACCGAGAGAGGUGAGUGGAAUUCCGAGUGUAGAGGUGAAAUUCGUAGAUAUUCGGAGGAACACCAGUGGCGAAGGCGGCUCACUGGCUCGGUACUGACGCUGAGGUGCGAAAGCGUGGGGAGCAACCAGGAUUAGAAACCCUAGUAGUCC
rnacentral:rRNA from 1 species